rnacentral:rRNA from 1 species
GACGAACGCUGGCGGCGUGCCUAAUACAUGCCAGUAGAACGCUGAAGGAGGAGCUUGCUCUUCUGGAUGAGUUGCGAACGGGUGAGUAACGCGUAGGUAACCUGCCUGGUAGCGGGGGAUAACUAUUGGAAACGAUAGCUAAUACCGCAUAAUAGUAGAUGUUGCAUGAUAUUUACUUAAAAGGUGCAAUUGCACCACUACCAGAUGGACCUGCGUUGUAUUAGCUAGUUGGUGGGGUAACGGCUCACCAAGGCGACGAUACAUAGCCGACCUGAGAGGGUGAUCGGCCACACUGGGACUGAGACGCGGCCCAGACUCCUACGGGAGGCAGCAGUAGGGAAUCUUCGGCAAUGGACGAAAGUCUGACCGAGCAACGCCGCGUGAGUGAAGAAGGUUUUCGGAUCGUAAAGCUCUGUUGUAAGAGAAGAACGAGUGUGAGAGUGGAAAGUUCACACUGUGACGGUAUCUUACCAGAAAGGGACGGCUAACUACGUG